rnacentral:rRNA from 1 species
UGCAAGUCGAACGGCAGCGCGGACUUCGGUCUGGCGGCGAGUGGCGAACGGGUGAGUAAUGUAUCGGAACGUACCUUUCAGUGGGGGAUAACGUAGCGAAAGUUACGCUAAUACCGCAUAUUCUGUGAGCAGGAAAGCAGGGGAUCGCAAGACCUUGCGCUGAUUGAGCGGCCGAUAUCAGAUUAGCUAGUUGGUGAGGUAAAGGCUCACCAAGGCGACGAUCUGUAGCGGGUCUGAGAGGAUGAUCCGCCACACUGGAACUGAGACACGGUCCAGACUCCUACGGGAGGCAGCAGUGGGGAAUUUUGGACAAUGGGGGCAACCCUGAUCCAGCCAUGCCGCGUGAGUGAAGAAGGCCUUCGGGUUGUAAAGCUCUUUCGGCCGGGAAGAAAUCGUACGGGUUAAUACCCUGUGCGGAGGACGGUACCGGCAUAAGAAGCACCGGCUAACUACGUGCCAGCAGCCGCGGUAAUACGUAGGGUGCGAGCGUUAAUCGGAAUUACUGGGCGUAAAGCGUGCGCAGGCGGUUUUGUAAGACAGGCGUGAAAUCCCCGGGCUCAACCUGGGAACUGCGCUUGUGACUGCAAGGCUAGAGUAUGGCAGAGGGGGGUGGAAUUCCACGUGUAGCAGUGAAAUGCGUAGAGAUGUGGAGGAACACCAAUGGCGAAGGCAGCCCCCUGGGCCAAUACUGACGCUCAUG